rnacentral:rRNA from 1 species
CCUACGGGAGGCAGCAGUGAGGAAUAUUGGUCAAUGGGCGAGAGCCUGAACCAGCCAAGUCGCGUGAGGGAGUACUGCCCUAUGGGUUGUAAACCUCUUUUGUCGGGGAGCAAAAGACGGACGUGUCCGGCUGUGAGAGUACCCGAAGAAAAAGCAUCGGCUAACUCCGUGCCAGCAGCCGCGGUAAUACGGAGGAUGCGAGCGUUAUCCGGAUUUAUUGGGGGUAAAGGGUGCGCAGGCGGAUUUUUAAGUCAGCGGUCAAAUCGUGGGGCUCAACCCCAUCCAGCCGUUGAACCUGGGGAUCUAGAGUGUGCGAGAGGUAUGCGGAAUGCGUGGUGUAGCGGUGAAAUGCAUAGAUAUCACGCAGAACCCCGAUUGCGAAGGCAGCAUACCGGUGCACAACUGACGCUCAGGCACGAAAGCGUGGGUAUCGAACAGGAUUAGAUACCCCAGUAGUC